rnacentral:tRNA from 1 species
GCCCCUGUGGCGGAAUUGGUAGACGUGGCAGACUCAAAAUCUGCUGUCCUUCGGGCGUGGGAGUUCGAGUCUCCCUGGGGGCACCA